CGAUUAGAGUUUGAUCCUGGCUCAGAGNUGAACGCUGGCGGCGNUGCUUAACACAUGCAAGUCGAACGAGAACGGUCCUUCGGGAUGUCAGCUAAGUGGCGGACGGGUGAGUAAUGUAUAGUUAAUCUGCCCUUUAGAGGGGGAUAACAGUUGGAAACGACUGCUAAUACCCCAUACUCCUUUUACCUUAAUGGUAAUUGGGAAACGUUUUUUCGCUAAAGGAUGAGACUAUAUGGUAUCAGGUAGUUGGUGGGGUAAGAGCCUACCAAGCCAAUGACGCCUANCUGGUCUGANAGGAUGAUCANCCACNCUGGAACUGANACACGGUCCANACUCCUACNGNAGGCANCANUGGGNAAUAUUG
rnacentral:rRNA from 1 species